AGGAGAGAAUUGGGGGGGGGGGGGGAGUCUGGGGGGGUGAAUAUCCUGGCUUCCUGCUGCUGUGUUCGAUUCUCAUGCUCUCCCCUGCCCCUCGCACCACCCUCCCCUCAAGCAGGCUCAAGAAUAAGCAUGGACGUGUGGGCAGCACCGGAGACCGCCCUCCACUCCCCAAACCGCAUGCCACCUCACCAGGGUCCGUAGCCAGCACUCCUCGCAGUGCACGUGCCAACACUGGAUGGACGUUAGGGGCAUCGAGUAGGAGUCCUAGGGAGGAGUGGGGUUAGAAAAGGGGUCACUCUGAGGCUGGCCCACCCUCUAAAGAGCUCAAAUCACAGUGCAAAGGCCCUUUCCAACCCCCAAAGGGCACUGAAGCCUGACCAGAGGCAUCCCAGGUUCCCUUUCUCUCACCAUACAGAUGAGGCAUUUGUAACGGUCCCCACGGGAUAGCUGCCGUUCAAGUUCCCUGACCCGAGCCUUCAGGGCCUCAAACGUGGUCACAGCUGAAUCUUCGGUGAUUCUGUAAAGAGGAUGGCUUGGUUGGGCAGGCAGCAGGCUGGCAUCUCUAAUCUGAACCUCCAGCCCACACCUCCCUUGAAUUCUAGAAGCAUAUAUAUAAAUGUCUCUCACAUGUCCCUGCCCCCCAUCUGCUGAAAGCCUCUAUCUGCAAACUCCUCUCUCUCGAAUUGAACUCUUCACCCUCCUUGUUCCUCCACCUCCAUCUUGGUGAAUUUCCAAACCAGAUACCUUGGAACCAUUCUCAAACCAUUCCUUCCCAGUCACCCUCGACACCUACAAUCUGUCAUCUAGUUUCUAGUAUCUCAGUAGUGUGUCCACUGCUACCUCUGGUCCAGGCCCUCAUGGUUUCUCCUACGAUUCCUCUGCUGACCUGAAUGGCCCCUCUGCCUCCAGAUCCUUCAUUCCAUUCUCUCAGCACCUAGAAUUUUACAGAUUUGACCAUUUCUACUUUAACAUUUCAAUGUUUCCCUCAGAAUACAGCUCUAUCAAACUCCUUGGAAGCUGAACAGGGACUCCUUGGCCUAGCCCCGGCCCAUAUCCCUCAGCACCCCACCGCACGUGAUGCUCCAUCCACACCAAACUGAAGCUUCCCACACCCAGCACCAUUUUUCACGCCCCUGGCCUCUGGCAGCACUUCCUGCUUCCUCUGGCCCACCGCACCUCCUGCCAGCUCCACCGUGGGUGGCUGGUCUCCCGUGCUCUCUGGCACCCUGCGGCGGACCGCACCACAGCAGUGCAACUGCAAAUGUCCCUGUCUCCUGGGCAAGAUGCAGUCUCCCAACGGCAGGCUGCUCACACCACCAGUACUGACUACGGACAUUAGCCCAUGGCGGGCACGGGAGUGUGAGUAAAUGUUUGUUGACCCAAAAGCCAGUCUCACCCCCAGAGUAAGAGGUGUGGGGACUGCACAAGUCCCACAGAAUCCAGGUCCUGGGCCACAGGCCCGCCCUACCUCAAGGGCUCCUUGUUGUUCCUUCCUGGGCACAUCAGAUGCCCUGAGAGCCCUCACCUGCUGUUCAAGCUCUGCCCAUGAAAGUCCCUGUAACUUCUGGAAGGCUCUUUGAGCUGCAGUACUGAACAGUGAAGAGCUAGGACUAGCUGAAGGAGUGGAGUGAUCCCUCCCACCCCUUCUGAAACAACUGAACAGAACCUAGAGGAGCUCACAGAAGAAGAAUGCUGCCUGGAGGAGCAGAAAAGAUGCUACUAGAGAUGGGCCUUAGGGAAUAAUAAUGAUGAUAACACAAAUAAAAGAGCCAAAAUUUAUUAAGUGCUUACUAAAUGCCAGCGAUUGUACUGAGGGAUUGAAAAUUAUUAUUUUAUUUACACCUCACAAAAACCCCACGAGGAGAUUGUAAUAUUCCCAUUUUAUAUAUGAAGAAACUAAAGCAGCAGAGGAACAUGAAAUAGCUUGCCUAUGGUUCACACAGAGUGGGGGAGCUGGGAUUCAAACCCCAGACUGUUGCUGUGAUCCACCAACCACUUUGUGACUAACAUUACAACACUGACAAUAUCCAGGAGGAGCAGGGUCUCCAGACCCAGGGACCAGGACCAACAAAGGCCAAGAGGUCCAUGUGGCCGUAAGGCUCACCUAUGGGUAAGUGCUAACGUGGGGAAAGCGGAAGAUCCUAUCAGGGGAGACUCUGGAGGCCACAAUCUGAAAGUGAAGCUGAUCUCACAGGCAACGGAAAGUUGCUGGGCCCACCAGAGGAGGGUGGUAAGAGGGACCAGUCUGAGGGGAAUCGCCAAGUGUGGCGCUGUGUGGGCAGAGGCGUUCUCCAAGGACGGCCUGUUCGGGCCGGCUUGGAACAGACAACUGGCGCAGAAAGCCAGAAAGCUACAGGUGGUACUGGCGUUAGGUGAUAUCGGGGGCAUGGGAGGACGGUGGUGACAUUCCCACCUGGGCAGUCUGGGCAGCAACAGACUUUGACCUCUAACCUUCCUCUCUUAGGGCACCAGCAGCAACAAAGAAGAGGAAGUCUUGGUGUUGUGUCCUUGUGUCAGGGAUGCCCUCAAUCCAUUACUCAAUGGGUCCACGGCUCUAUCCCUGCCUCUAUCCAUGGAAGCUGCGAAGGGAAUGACUCCGGCUCCUCUGACACUGGCUGAUGCUGCAAGUGUCCACUCAACUUUCCAGAUCUGGAAGCCUUCAUCAGCCCCCGCCCCUUACACACGCCAGCACGGCUCUUCCCCUGGCCUUCUGUCCAAUGCCACAUGUGCCAUUCUCAUCUGGACUGUUGGUGAAUAUCUGCCAAGAAGACAAGGUAGCUGUGCUCCCUUUCUAAGGACCAGGCUGGGCAUUUGCCUGGUCCUAUGAAGUUAUUUCAAAAAUUGGGACCCUGAGGCCUGGAGCUGGGGACAAAGGCCCAGAGCAGAGCACUCUCAAACUCUGUAUCAGAGGAAUUAGAGCUAGAAAGGCAAAAAGGAUGGGGCCAGGAGAGAAUGAAGCCAUCUCCCCCUUCAUCUCCAAAAGCUCUAUAGGCCACAUCUGACUGCAGAGCCCACCUUACUGUGGACUUGCUCGGCAAACACCUGGUUGUUAUCUCUGCUCUGGUACAAUACCUGGUUCUCCAGUCCCUGACCCAGGCUACUUGUGAGUUAUUCCUGACACCCUCUGGGGCACGGGAUAGAGAAUUUCCUGGAAGCCGCCAUGGUGUCCUGCUUCCCCUGGGUUGUGAAAAAGAUCUAGGGCGGGAACCCACGUUGUGUGUACCAGGAAGUCAUGGGGAACCCCCCAAUCUUGGUGGGGCCAGACCCAGUGGAGAUCUCUGCAUAGGACUCAUCCCAGAGAACCUUGCCUACUGGUGCCUGUGCUCGUACAGGUGGGACACAAGUCCCAACUUCCCCUAGCCUUGGGUGGGUAGUACCUUCAUGGAUGGCCACUGGCUCUGGCCCCCACCUCCCCCUCGGGCGCCAUCCCUGAUUAAUGAUCUUGUCUUUCUGAUUUAUGAGCAGCCCCUCCAGACAAGGGUGGGCGCCCCUUACGGCCCCGCCCGCCCCGCUCAGCUGGAGUAGGAGAGAAUUAUUAAAUAAACAUCCAUACGUCAUUCCGCCCCCCCCAGCUGGCUGCGCCGAACCCGUGCGGCCCACUCCGGCGCUGACACGGAGCAGCUGCGGUGAUUCAUGGGCAGCCAGGCCCCGAGCCGCGGCCCAUACAUCAUGCCAGCAGCACUCGCGGCCCGGCCGAGAUAAACUGAUCAACCACAACGGGCUGGAAUGAAUUUAUGACAACACAAAAUGGAGGGAAACAAAUGGGAGGUGACCCUGGGCCACCGACCCGGCCCUGCACUGGCCUGCAAUCCACUCUCCUGGCAGGAGGCAAGAUGGAACACCGGCCCUGGAAUGAAGAGGCUGCCUUUUAAGCCCAGGCAACCUAGCCUCCAGCAGAGCGAGGGGUGGGGUGCAGAGAGGUAAGCAGUGGCCAAGAGCAGCAACUCUAGGCAGCUAGAGCCAGACAGUGCCACUUCUUGGGGCCAGAACUGGCCUUGCUUGGGCUUCUGGAAAGGCGGUAAGAUGCCCAGCUGAUUUCAAGUCCUCGUGGCUCCUGGGGAUCCAGGCCGGGGCUGGCCAGUCUCAUGUGAAGUGCUAACGGAUCCCCUUUCCCUCUGCCAGAGAACCCAGGCCAAAAAUUCCUUACCAGAAGUGAUGAGACCCAAUGCUCCUGCCUAAAAUCCACUGCGAGCGCCACCCGGGACAAGAAAAAUGAAACCAAUUUAGCUCCCGAUUAAGAAACAGAAACUGGAGAUGAAUCAAGUGCGCCGGCUGGGCUGGGCGGCCAUACAUCACAUUCCCGGGUGGAGGCCGCCGCAGCGGGCAGGCAGGCAGGCCGACUGCUCCUCCCUCCGCCAGGACUCCCAGGGCAGUGGCCCAGCGAUCAAUUCACAAAGUCACGCUUAGCACCAGCUGGGCCCCACUGCUGUCGUGUGCCCAGGGCCGCAGGACUAAGCCAUGCUCUGGAGGGCCAAGAGUCGUGGCAGAAGGCCUUCCUGCUAGCAGAGAGACCCCCUCUCUCCCCUCCCUGAACUGCCACCCCAGGGGCCCCUCUCCUGGUCGGACACUCACUUCUCGAUGUCACUAUUCUUGCAGGUCUUCUGCAUGGCCUCCUGCUUGCUGCUCUCACCGUUGCUGGUAGAUGGCAUCUCUGCUGGGACAGAGGGGCAACUCAUAUUCUGGCCAGACUGGGCAGCACAGCCCCACCUUGUCCCACAGUGCUCCAAGGAUACUGCGGCUUCCCAUAUUCCAGAGUGUCAUCCCCAUCCACAUCCAGGUCAGCGUCGCUGUCCGGAUUCUCUUUGCCGCUGCACAUGACGAAGCCAGAGCCUGUGGGAAGCAAGACAUGAAUAGGACCAGGGGCCAACGAGACUAUACCAAGCGUGCCCCUUCCGUUGCCUCUAGGUAAGGCUUAAGUUGGGGCCAGAACAAACGCCUGCUUAUUCUGCAAGUCUGACCUAGCUCAGCCCAUGCCUCCUGCUAAGAACUCACAGUGCCUAUGCACACAGUUGCUCCAGAAAUACCCCAACAUUCUUUCAACCUUUACUGAGUUCAUCCUCAGUCUGGCCUGGCAUUGGAGACACAAGAGUUUCAAGAUUUGAUCUCCACCCGUGAGGUGCUGAGUGUGAAGACUUCCCCAGGUAUUUCUAUGUAGGUGUCCCUUCCUUGGUGUCCACCCAGACUUCUGUGCAAAUCCAAAGUCAUAUUUAACUACAUGUACUUCACGGUCCCUCAUCAAACUGCAAGCCCAGGUCCACAGCAGUGAUGGCUAAAAUGCUGACGGCGCUGUCCUGUCAGGUCCUGAGAGCCCUAUGUCCGAAAGGAGGCGGAGGCCUGAAGCCUCUCAGGAUACAACCUUCCCUGUCAGACCCCAACCCCAGCAGGGCAGUGACGACCUGCCAGGCAGGACAGAGAGCAUGGCAUAUCUUAACCGCCAAGGAAAAGGCCUGUCUCUGGUUUGUGACGCUGACCCCAUCCCCCCUGUGGAGACAGAUGUUGGGAACCUCUCCCUACCCCACAGGUGUUCAGAACAGGCUGCUACUGCCAAUUUCCCUCUUAUGCUGCCCCAGCCUCCUCCAACCUCUUUCCCAGCACAUUAAACUUUAUUUUCUUAAUGAAAUGUCACUUGCUGACUUCUGGCAGAAUCAUAAUAAAAAGAAACUGCCAUAAAGCCAUUUUAUGCCGACAGCGUCCCCCCACCCCCCCGCUUGGCACCCUCCCCCCACCCCCAGCUUCAAGAGGAGGGCUCCAUAGCCGUUUUAUGUUCUCAGCUGCUGGAACAUCCCAAGCCAGUACUCAGAGGCAAGAUGGCACACACAGCUCCUUUCCAAGCCUCUGGCUCCUGUUCCAUGUAGCUCCGGGGAUAUUAAGCAAGCUGCCGCUCCUGCUGCUGCUAUCCAGGGAAGGGACUCAGCUCCCAGGACCUCCAAGAUGACCUGGAGGACCCUUUAGUCACCAGGGGAGGCCCCUUGCUAUGACUCAACCCCAGUUAAAGUGGCGCAAUGUGCUGAGCUGCUGUCUCUAGGCAAACAAGGCUGCUGGUCAGCGAUGCUCAGCAGAAUGGGUUCUGGGAGGGGAGGCAGUGUGAAAAAUCCCUUCCCUCCAAACGAAUACUUAGCAACAGAGAGGAUUAAGUGCAAAAAUGAUAAGCAAGUCUAAAUUUUAUAAAAAUGACCUCUCCCAUAAACUCAUUUCUUCCCGGGUCAUCAAGGAGAAGAAAAAAAAAAAUCAGUGUUAAUUUAAUCAAUUGAUUAGGUGAUCGAUUGAGAAACUGGAGAUGCCCGUUUACUGGGGGCACUAACGUCCUGGAACCCGAAACCACAAAAAAGGAGCCAUCAAUUUCCUCACCUGCUGCUUCUAACAAAACCUGAGCCCAGGGAGAAAGGAAAGUCUUGGGGCCCUUCAGAGGCCAUGCUCUUGGGGAGGGGCGGGGGGGAGAGACAGGGGCAGCAGUUUCCGGAGAGUUUUACACUGGAAUUAGUUACAGAUGCAGUUACGGUGUCUUGUGUAAACGCCAUCGAUUGGGGAGCUGACAGUCUGGGGAGCUGCGAUGCGGGACAAUCAAUCGGCCUGCAGUGUCACCUGCCACCUCGCUGAACAGUUGACAAUGCAAUUAUCCAGUGUGGAGGCAGGGAGUUGGCGUGUGUCAAACGCACUUAGCCACUUUCCGGGCCUCCUCAAUAACGCGUUUCACUGCCUCACGUCAGGAGAGACGCAGAGAGACAGACGCCGUUUAAAACCAUUGAUACUUGCUCCUUCUGCCUGUACUCCCUCUAUCCCAGCUUAACAAUUGUGUUCCAAAAGGCGAUUAAAUCCCCGUCAGUUGCCACAGGGGACAGAAGGUGCCCUGCUCCCCUGCCACCUCCCCUCACCCCUCCCACCAAGCAACAGUUAGAACUAAAGGUGGUAGGAGCUAGAAAGCAGCAGCCCCAGCCCUCCCUGCCCCAAGACUGCCUCCAGCAGCUGGGGGCUCCAACAUCUGUCACUGACCGGACCAUGCAGCACGGCUACACCGGGGAUGCUUUUAGUUACAGGGGUCCCCUUCUUUUGGGAACUAACAUGCCAGAGCGGGCAGCAGCUAGGGGAAGGCCUAGUUCUCUGUGCCCUGGGACUCACGGUACCUCUCAGCUCCUGACCCAGGAUCCGGUGAUGUUUUAGCAAGCCAUAGGUCGUUAAAAGAUCGGUGCCAGAGCUGUCCUCUCUGUGAGAUCUCAUCCCAGGCUACUGGGAACCAGCCUAAAUCCAAGAGAGGAACUUGAAAAAGAUGGAGUCACCAGGCCAGGAUCUGGGGAGGGCAGAGACCUGCACAGCUGGGCCUCUAAGUACCGUCAUUUUCCCUCCCCUCCACCUGUUUGAUUCAAAGGGGCUCACUGCUGGAUUCUAGCGAAGCAUUUCUUGUCAGUGCUCAGACACAGCCACAGCACCCUCUAGUUCCUGUGCAGUCUCCUGGGAGAGGUUUCCAUCUUCCACACUCUUGUGCUUGCCCCCAUCACUGUUACCUUAUCUGAAACCAACCAUUCCCGUGUCUUCUCUCUAGCCUGUCCAUUCCAGACAUGAUGGGUUCCAGGCUCCCCAAAUCCAGCUGGGUGAACUUUCAAUGGCAACCAAUACAGGGGAAGGAUCAAAGCUCACCGUAAGUCUCUUUUUGAGGACCCAGGAGCUGGAGACAGGAAAUGAGGAAAGGUGUGGCUCACUCAUCACAUACCUCCCUUGGCUACAGAUAGGAGCAGGUUUGUCCCAAGGGGCUGUAUCAUUAGGUUCUCACUGGGGCCUGCUGCUCUAGCCCAGAAGCCCUUUGCUCUGCCCAUGGCUGGCAUGGUGCCCCAGAAGAGGAUCUUUUUCUAACUGCUAAGCUCUCUCAGGGGAAUGUUGGGGAAGCUCUAGGCUCCAUGCUACCCUUUAUGCAAUUCUAAUGCUGGGUGGGGGAAAGAGCAGUAGCAGACUAGCAACCCUAAGGUUCUGAGAGGACAUCAACAGCUCAGGCACACAGCCCAGGAUUUCUCUGAGAACUGGGAAGGCCACAGUAUUUCUUAGAUACUGAAAGUUUUAGGUCUUCCAACCUGUCUUGAAAUCUUUAUUUCCUUUAGCCUCUUAAAGAUCUAUUUCUAGCUGGACCUAUCUUGGUGCUUGCUGCCUGCUUACCUGUUCUGUCUUGUCCUUCAUUUUGUUCUAGAGUCCCAAUUCCAAGGACUCCUGGGUCCAAGCUACCUAGGCUUGACCUCGAUAGCCACAGAUCCAUCUUCAAGGCCUGUUCCCCUCAGCCAAGUGCCUCCACCAAAACUCUUGCUUGUUCCCUAGCUCCAC